rnacentral:rRNA from 1 species
CAGUGAUCACUUUAACGGCCGCGGUACCCUGACCGUGCAAAGGUAGCAUAAUCAUUUGCCUUUUAAUUGGAGGCUAGUAUGAAUGGUCUGACGAGAGUAAAACUGUCUCAUAUGUAUUUAAUAGAAAUUAACCUAAAGGUGCAAAGGCCUUUAUACACCAAAAAGACGAGAAGACCCUGUUGAGCUUUAAUCUGGCAUUUUUUCUAUAUUUAUAAAUCCAUUUUGCUUGCUAAAGAUUUUAAUUGGGGCGAUUAAGGAACACCCUACAGCUUCCUGAAAAGUUAAAUCGAUCCAGCAAUGCUGAUCAACAAAAUGAGUUACCACAGGGAUAACAGCAUAAUUCUUCUCAAGAGCCCAUAUCGAAAGGAGAGAUUGUGACCUCGAUGUUGGACUAGGGUGACCAGAAGGUGCAGCCGCUUUCUUGUUUGGUCUGUUCGACCAGUAAUUCCCU